AAUCCAUAGGUUAAUGAGGCGAACCGGGGGAACUGAAACAUCUAAGUACCCCGAGGAAAAGAAAUCAACCGAGAUUCCCCCAGUAGCGGCGAGCGAACGGGGAGGAGCCCAGAGCCUGAAUCAGCAUGUGUGUUAGUGGAAGCGUCUGGAAAGGCGCGCGAUACAGGGUGACAGCCCCGUACACAAAAGCGCAUGUGCUGUGAGCUCGAUGAGUAGGGCGGGACACGUGGUAUCCUGUCUGAAUAUGGGGGGACCAUCCUCCAAGGCUAAAUACUCCUGACUGACCGAUAGUGAACCAGUACCGUGAGGGAAAGGCGAAAAGAACCCCGGCGAGGGGAGUGAAAAAGAACCUGAAACCGUGUACGUACAAGCAGUGGGAGCACCCUUUGGGUGUGACUGCGUACCUUUUGUAUAAUGGGUCAGCGACUUAUAUUCUGUAGCAAGGUUAACCGAAUAGGGGAGCCGGAGGGAAACCGAGUCUUAACCGGGCGUUAAGUUGCAGGGUAUAGACCCGAAACCCGGUGAUCUAGCCAUGGGCAGGUUGAAGGUUGGGUAACACUAACUGGAGGACCGAACCGACUAAUGUUGAAAAAUUAGCGGAUGACCUGUGGCUGGGGGUGAAAGGCCAAUCAAACCGGGAGAUAGCUGGUUCUCCCCGAAAGCUAUUUAGGUAGCGCCUCGUGAAUUCAUCUCCGGGGGUAGAGCACUGUUUCGGCUAGGGGGCCAUCCCGGCUUACCAACCCGAUGCAAACUGCGAAUACCGGAGAAUGUUAUCACGGGAGACACACGGCGGGUGCUAACGUCCGUCGUGAAGAGGGAAACAACCCAGACCGCCAGCUAAGGUCCCAAAGUCAUGGUUAAGUGGGAAACGAUGUGGGAAGGCCCAGACAGCCAGGAUGUUGGCUUAGAAGCAGCCAUCAUUUAAAGAAAGCGUAAUAGCUCACUGGUCGAGUCGGCCUGCGCGGAAGAUGUAACGGGGCUAAACCAUGCACCGAAGCUGCGGCAGCGACACUGUGUGUUGUUGGGUAGGGGAGCGUUCUGUAAGCCUGUGAAGGUGUGUCGUGAGGCAUGCUGGAGGUAUCAGAAGUGCGAAUGCUGACAUAAGUAACGAUA
rnacentral:rRNA from 1 species